UCCUUAUGUUGUGCAUUUAGCAGUUCCUUCUCAAGUUCCUCCUUUUCAUUCCUAAGUUUAAGAUUUUCUUCUUUAAGAAGUUGGAGAUCUAGUAUAAAUGCCUGAACAUCUUCUGCCAUAUAAGCAGGAUUGUCAGCCUGAUUUAAACUUGAAAGCCUUGCUAUUUCUCUUUCUGCUUCUAUAAAGGAAAACAAAACAUAGUUUUACU
rnacentral:lncRNA from 1 species